UCCUAUCUCACCAACCAGAUACAUUACUUGUUAUCUUGUGGGGAGGAGCCAAAAGAAAAAUACUUCUGGCAGAGGAGAAGAGCUUAUAUUACGGGUCAACAGAAAUUCAGGGAGAGGAAGAAAUGGCUCACUGUCAUUGUCUCCAUGGUCUAUGAGGCCAGACUGGGAAAGAACCGCUCUCUAUUUUCCCAUCUCUUCAUCCAGUUGCUGAAGACUGAACUUGCUCUUGCUCCUUUCAGUGUUUCCCGAGAUCACCUUCCAAAUAAACUAUCUGCUUGAGGGACGAAGUGGACUUUACUGGCUCGUGUAACUAAAAGGCACAUGGCAUUGAUGGUUUCAGCCCCAGGAAGAACUGAGGAAAAAAAGCAAAAUUUCUCAUCUAUACCUUCAGAAGCAACAUGGCGUGGCAGAAAGGACAUCAGUAUUGGAAUCACACAGAAUGAGCUGUCAUCAAUAAAAAACAACAUGUUGGACAAGAUUCCUUCAGACUUUCACAAAAGAGCUGGCCCCAGCCUGAUGUGGGCUCCUAAUCCAUCCUUCUUGGGGAUGGA
rnacentral:lncRNA from 1 species